AGAAUCAACGCUGGCGGCGUGCCUAACACAUGCAAGUCGCACGAGAAAGGGGAGCAAUCCCUGAGUACAGUGGCGCACGGGUGAGUAACACGUGAAUAAUCUACCUCCGAGUGGGGAAUAACUGAGAGAAAUCUUAGCUAAUACCGCAUAAUACCCACGGGUCAAAGCAGCAAUGCGCUUGGAGAGGAGUUCGCGGCAGAUUAGUUAGUUGGCGGGGUAAUGGCCCACCAAGACGAUGAUCUGUAUCCGGCCUGAGAGGGCGCACGGACACACUGGAACUGAAACACGGUCCAGACUCCUACGGGAGGCAGCAGUGGGGAAUUUUGCGCAAUGGGGAAACCCUGACGCAGCAACGCCGCGUGGAGGAUGAAGCCCCUUGGGGUGUAAACUCCUUUCGAUCGGGAAGAUAAUGACGGUACCGAUAUAAGAAGCCCCGGCUAACUUCGUGCCAGCAGCCGC
rnacentral:rRNA from 1 species